GGACUACCCGGGUAUCUAAUCCCGUUCGCUCCCCUGGCUUUCGCACCUCAGCGUCAGUCACCUCCCAGGACACUGCCUUCGCCUUUGGUAUUCCUCCGGAUAUCUACGCAUUUCACCACUCCACCCGGAAUUCUAUGUCCCUCUGAGGUCCUCAAGUCUUGCCGUCUUGCCGGCACUCCUCUCGUUAAGCAAGAGGCUGGCACCGCCAACGCGCAAAACCGCCCGCGUGCGCUUUACGCCCAGUAACUCCGGACAACGCUCGCCCCCUACGUAUUACCGCGGCUGCUGGCAC
rnacentral:rRNA from 1 species